UACGUAGGGGGCAAGCGUUGUCCGGAAUCAUUGGGCGUAAAGAGCGUGUAGGCGGCUCGAUAAGUCCGCUGUGAAAGUCCAGGGCUCAACCCUGGAAGGCCGGUGGAAACUGUCGGGCUAGAGUCCGGAAGAGGCGAGUGGAAUUCCCGGUGUAGCGGUGAAAUGCGCAGAUAUCGGGAGGAACACCAAUGGCGAAGGCAGCUCGCUGGGACGGUACUGACGCUGAGUGAGCGAAAGCCAGGGGAGCAAACGGG
rnacentral:rRNA from 1 species